UCUAGGGGAGGUUCAUUCCACCACCUCGGUGCCAGACUAGAGAAGAGCCUUUAAGAAUACUUACCGCUUACACUGAGAGAAGGUGGGAUCAGUUUAGCAGUGCUAGGUGAUCUCAGGCAGCGUGGUGCAGUGCGAGGAAUGAUGAGGUCUUUGAGGUAAGAAGGUGCUGGUCCAUUUCAGGCUUUGUAGGCAAGCAUCGGUGUUUUGAAUCUGAUGCAUGCAGCCACCGGAAGCCAGUGGAGGGAGCACAGCAGUGGGGUGCAGGUUCACACAGAUGUGUUUUGGAUCAUUUGCAGUGGACGAAGAGCAUUCAGAGGUAGACCUGCCAAGAUGCUGAAGCUAUACUGGUUUCCAGCUCACUGUACACUAGAAAACGUAUAAAAGUAUUAGCAUUUGUAGUUUGCUAAGUAGCUAAUUAUAAUUAUUAAAAUAAUUCUUCUAAACUGUCAAAUAUUUAACAUAUAUAAAUGUUAAAUGUUACAAUCUUUGUGGUAAAACCUAUAAAUCCUUACAAAUAAAAUUCCGUAAUGUGAAGUAUUUUUUCAGAAACUGUCACCAAGAAACAGCAUUUGACACUCACAGAGAAGAUUUUUAAGGAAAUGGAUGAAAUUUCACUAGUUAAUUUUUAAUGAUUAUUUGAGAUUCCAAAAAUCAGGUUGACCCCCUUCAUGUAUUCUAUUUAAUUUUUAGACUUUUUUAUUCCUAAGAACAAAAUCAAAUGUAUAUUAUACAGAAAGCAAACAAAAAAAAUUAAAAUGACGAUAUACUAAAAACACAGAAAAAUAUCCCAUGAUUUUAAUACAGUAUAUAGAUUUACAGGUUUACAGAUUUACAGCAUUGUUUAGCUAUUCAUUGGAGCUCAGCCAGUGUCUCAUUCCUUACCAAAGACAGCACUAGAAGUGACACCUGUUACCAGCCCCUUGGAACAAAGGGAGAGUGCUUUCCUUCUAUACAGCAUCUAUUCUUCAAAAAAGCUAUAUGGAGCUGUGCCUGUUAUUGGCUUUGGUGCUGUUGAUUAAAUGCAUGAUGCAUAUGUAAGACAAAUGCAUAUUUUAUUACAUUUUACCUUAUUGCUCAGUUUAUUGACUAAAUCUGAUUAGGUCUUUUGGUAAAUGAAAAGAAGAAACACCUUUGUCUAGUGACCUCUUGACUCCUUUUACUUUACUUGAAAAGGCAAGGAGGUUCCUUUGGGCCUUUUUUGCUAAGAGAUCUAAGCACAUGGUCCCUGACAAAGCACCCCCACUCAGCUUCCACCUUUCAAAAGCAUCUUCCUCCAGCCUCUUCAUCUCUCCCUAAAUAAGGAGAACAAGUAAGAAGAAUGUUGAGUACUAGUACAAACCAGUGUAUUAUGCUUAGUUAAUCAUUUAAAAUAAAAGCAGUGAGUAGAUGAAAAGUAUUUGCCAAAUAUGACAUUAAAAUAAAGAAGAAUGAAGGUCAACAUAGUUAAUUAAUCUAAGUAAUACUCAUUUCAUGCUUUUGAAUAAAAUACUUUUUAACAGGUUCUGCUUACGACUGAUUCAGAAUAUAGGAUUUAGAUUUGGAUUUCAGGACUUCAGAUUUGUGAUCUUAUUUGUGAUCAAGGAGAAAAGCAAGAUCUCAAGACAACCUGUGUCUUGAAAAUAAAGGGUAACAAAAGAAAAAAAGAUGCUAAUAUCGAUAAUGAAGUAUGGUGAUGGCUGCUUGGAUUCCAACACCAAGUUUAGAUCAUAAAUCAACAAGCACUUAUACUUAACAAUUUAAUAAAAUCUAAAUAAAGACACUACAUUUGCCCAAAAUAGCAAAGUGGUAGACUCUCAAAUUGCAUGAUUUGGUUUGAGACUAUGUCAUUAGUUAUGUUUCUCUGCCCUAACAAAAUAAUUAACAAAGUCAAUCAUAAUUUUAGUUUAUUAAUUCAUAUUUUGGGAUGACAAGUGUGUCUACUUGGAAUGAAAGCAAAUGGCCUCAUUACUCUAUUAGCACAUAGGGCCAUGAGCACUGCAGCCCAGCUGUUCCUGACUCACUGGUGUCUGCCUUUCAGGGAAAUUUUACCCCAUCCACAGCCGCCCAAGAUGUGUUUGUACAGACUGAAUCUGUGUGUGGUGGGUGGAUGACUUGGGAGACCAAUAUAAUAUCCGCAGUUUGUGAUAAGUCACAUCUGCAGCAUCUGCCAGUGGGUGGGCAGCCUUAUGCCAGAUCCCUACAUGGUCAGCUGUUGCUUCACAAUGGCCGCUCCAUCACAAGCCAAUGUGAACCAUCUCUGUUUGGGGCACAGUAAGAAGACACAUGUCCUUUUUAGGGAUGUGAAAAGCUAAACAUGUGGCUGCAUGCAUGAGCUAAAUGUCACAGAAGAUGCUGUUAAGCAUUAGGCUUCUGAGAGAAAGUGCAGAUCUCGUGAAUAAGUGUGCUGGAAUUCAGCAGAGGAUGAGAACAGUAACAGCAGAAAAGGAAGGAUUUACCUGUCAUUGUGAAAGACUUCAUUUAAAGUAUUUCAUGAAGAUGGAUAAGACGCAUUGAAGCAUGUGAAUAUUUCAGCUCAUCCAUCCGGGGACCCAACAGCAAAAUAAGAUCCAGCUGUUUCCAUGGAGAUGCUUGUGGGUUUGCUAGUGUGUGCCCACUUUUUCUAAUGAGUUCUGAGGAGGCAGUGUCUCCUAAGAGCCAACUGGUGGCAAACCCUUUGAGCUAAUAGUCUUCAGAAACUUCUUAAUUAAUGCAGUUGUGGAAUACAGCAUACCUGUUUGCAUUAAGACACCACAUCACUAGCCUUCCACCUCAUUCACUACCCUUUUUUUUAAAGAUAAAGAAUUGUAAGGGUAAAUUUAAAAAGUUACAAAGUUGAAUGAUAGUGUAGAGAAUACAGGUACAUUGUCAUAGCACCACAGGUUCCUACAUGUUUAAAUAUUUUGAGAGAUGCUAAAGAAUCAUGAUCUAAAGUGAUCAGAUACAAAUGUAAACACAAGGGGAGGCUUAUUGUGUGUCAGAGAAAUGUGUUAUAUAAAAGUAAAGUAAAAGUAAAAGUAAAAACACUAGAAAUGGACAUUAGAUCAGUGGUAAACAAUCCAUUUGUCUGAUUAAUCCAAAUUUUAGAUUUUUUGUACUAACCACUGUGUGUUUGUUAGACAUAAAGAGGGUGAACGAACAGUUCCUGAAUGUGUGGUUCCCACUGUGAAGCAUUGUGGAGGAGGUAUGAUGAUGUCGAGGUGCUUUGCUGGUGACACUGUUGGUGAUUUAGUCAAAAUUGAGGGUGCACUUACCCAGUGCUGCUACCACACCAUGUGUGUGUGUCUGUGUUUGUGUAUGUAUGUGUGUGUGUGUUUGUGUGUGUGUGUGUGUGUGUUUAAACAUUGCAUAUCAGUCUUUAAUUUUCAAACUAUCUACAAAAAGCACAGACUCUGUACAGAUGUGUAAUUCUCUAAUCCAGCUGUGGCUGUUUAUGCUGCAACUAUCUGGUUGAUCCAUGCAUCAUGAACAACAAUAACAACCAUUCUUUCAUUUGCAGUUUGUCUCUAAAUCUAAAGGUAGACAAGUCAGAUAAUAUUGUUACUAUACAAUCUUUUGAUAAAGGUAGUCAAAGAAUCUCUGUGUUCAGUUAUUUAUCAAAUGUGAGAUCAGUCAUAUAUAUACAGUAUAUGGCUACAUUUCUUUUUCUGCAAGGCAACUCUAAACUAACAUCAGCUUAAACUGCUGAGCAUGUAUAGAUAUGACACAAAGGAACUUCCACUUUUUUUUUUGCAAUGUAUUUCUCUUUCUAAAGCUGUAAUUUUAAAGCUUUGCCUUUUAUGGAAUUUUAUGGGCAUCUCUGAAUGCAAAUGACUUGUGUCAUCUACAAGCUCUGUGAUUAAUUUGCACGUUUGCCAUUCUUCAACAAAUGCAUUCAAGCAUUUCUGAAACUUGUAUAUCCAUGUACAAUUCUAAAAAAUAUAUAUAUUUUAAAUCAGUUUGGUGGCUCAAGCAUUUACACACAGCUUUACUAAACAUUUUCUUUUUAAAUUAAGCAUGUCCACCAUGGGAAUUUCUUUUGUGUCUUAAAUAAUUACUUAUGCUAUCUUAUUUAUACUUCAAACCAAGGAGAGAUAAUAGCUAAUUUCUUUUCAACAGUAAUGGCACUUGGCUACAGACAGCACUGACUCUGUACAGAUGUAGAAUUUUCAGAUCCAGCUGAGGCUCCAGAUGCUGCACCUAUCUGUUUAGUUCACCAAAAGCGUGACUGUAUUUAAAAAGCAUCUUGAGGAAUCCAAAACCAGACGUGCAGUGAUCAUUUAAGACUGAGUGGUGCAGUCCGGCACAUAGGUGAACUGAGGACACACUGGCAAUGGAUCAGCAGGAGAAAAGAGAGACGGAGAGAACUGAAGGAAGAAAUAUGGACAGCGGAAGACAGACAUUGCACUAGGAUUCAAUCUGUGACAGAAAAAUGUGGCACCCCCUCAUUAGAAACUAUAAACCCACAAAGGCUGAGAAUAGAAAGUGACUUCUACAUUACUCAACUGCUUCAAAAAGAAAUAUAUUCCAGCUUUGGAUUUAACUCCACAACAAAGCGAAGAUGAAGAUUUUAAAUUCACAUUUGGACCAUGAUGUAUCAACUUUACCUUAGAUAGUAAUUUUUAGUCAUUACCUAGAACAUUUUAUGGGUGGGGUAGGUGGCAUGUGUUCAUUUUGCAUUAAUGUCAGAUACACUUUAUGAACAAAAGAUUGUAGACACCUGAUGUAUUUGCUUUUUGAACAUCCCAUAACACAUUUAGUUCCAUUAGCUGUUAUAAUAAAACCUACUCUUCUGGGAAGAACUUCCACUAGAUUUUGGAGUGUGUUUACUUAAUACUUCCCUGACCUAACAUUCCUGCUAACAUAAGUAUCAUCAUUUUUUUAACAUAGUGAUUUUUAUUAUGACUUUAGAUUAAAAGAUAUCUACAGUUGAAAAAAAAGCCUUCACACCCCUGUUAAGAUGGCAGGUUUUUUUGCUGUUGAAAAAAUUAUAAGUCAAGUCAAGUCAAGACAAGUUUAUUUCUAUAGCACUUUUCACAACAGACAUUGUCUCAAAGCAGCUUUACAGAAACUAUAACACUAAAAAAUAAGUUUGCCACAAAAACAAGAUAACGUAAGAUCAACAUACACAUGGUGAUGGCAGCAUCAUAUGAGGUUGCUUCUGUUCAGCAGCAAGAUAGGAUCAUGCAGAGCUCAAAUAAUAAUUAGAAUAAUCUAAUUUGGUACAGAAACUUGCAAAAACUCUUUAAGAUAAGGAAAUUAUUAUUAUUAUUAUUUAAUUUUUUUUCCAGAACAAUGAAGGUCGAUGUUAUGGAAUGAUUCAGUUAGAGCUUAAAUCUAAAGCCUGCUGAAAACCUGGGGAAUGAGUACUGUGCACAGGCGGGUCCUUUAAAAAAGUAUGGUAGAUUGUACACAUACAUACAUAUACCGUAAUUUCCGGUAUUAUUUUCCGCACCCAAAUAUUUUCCGCACCCAAAUAUAAGCCGCACCCACUGAAUUUUACAAAGAUUUUUAUUUUGAACAUAAAUAUGCCACACCUGUC